rnacentral:rRNA from 1 species
AUUGAACGCUGUCGGCAGGCCUAACACAUGCCAGUCGGGCGAGCGGCGGACGGGUGAGUAAUGUAUGGGGACUGCCCGAUAGAGGGGGCUAACUACUGGAAACGGUGGCUAAUAACGCAUACUAUCGGAUAACCCAUAGGGGAUUAGCUAGUAGGUGGGGUACAGGCUCACCGAGGCGACGAUCUCUCGCUGGUCUGAGAGGAGGAUCAGCCACACUGGGACUGAGACACGGGCCAGACUCCUACGGAGGCAGCAGUGGGGAAUAUUGCACAAUGGGUGCAAGCCUGAUGCAGCCAUGCCGCGUGUAUGAAGAAGGCCUUAGGGUUGUAAAGUACUUUGAGCGGGGAGGCGUUACCCGCAGAAGAAGCACCGGCUAACUCCGUGCCAGCAGCCGCGGUAAUUC